GAUGAAGAACGUAGCGAAAUGCGAUAAGUAGUGUGAAUUGCAGAAUUCAGUGAAUCAUCGAAUCUUUGAACGCACAUUGCGCCCCUUGGUAUCCCGAGGGGCAUGCCUGUUCGAGCGUCAUUUCACCACUCAAGCCUGGCUUGGUGUUGGGCGACGUCCUCUUUGGGGACGCGCCUCGAAACGCUCGGCGGCGUGGCACCGGCUUUAAGCGUAGCAGAAUCUUUCGCUUUGGAAGUCGGGGCCCCGUCUGCCGGAAGACCUGCUCGCAAGGUUGACCUCGGAUCAGGCAGGGAUACCCGCUGAACGUAAGCAUAUCAAUAAGCGGAGGA
rnacentral:misc_RNA from 1 species